CGGCGGACGGGUGAGUAACGCGUGGGUAACCUGCCUCAUACAGGGGGAUAACAGUUAGAAAUGACUGCUAAUACCGCAUAAGACCACAGCACCGCAUGGUGCGGGGGUAAAAACUCCGGUGGUAUGAGAUGGACCCGCGUCUGAUUAGCUAGUUGGUAAGGUAACGGCCUACCAAGGCGACGAUCAGUAGCCGACCUGAGAGGGUGACCGGCCACAUUGGGACUGAGACACGGCCCAA
rnacentral:rRNA from 1 species